UACGGAGGGUGCAAGCGUUAUCCGGAUUCACUGGGUUUAAAGGGUGCGUAGGCGGCGUGGUAAGUCACUUGUGAAAUCUCUGAGCUUAACUCAGAACGGCCAAGUGAUACUGCUGUGCUCGAGUGUGGAAGGGGCAAUCGGAAUUCUUGGUGUAGCGGUGAAAUGCGUAGAUAUCAAGAGGAACACCUGAGGUGAAGACGGGUUGCUGGGCCAACACUGACGCUGAGGCGCGAAAGCCAGGGGAGCGAACGGG
rnacentral:rRNA from 1 species